UACGUAGGGGGCAAGCGUUGUCCGGAUUUAUUGGGCGUAAAGAGCGUGUAGGCGGCUUUGCAGGUCCGCUGUGAAAACUCGAGGCUCAACCUCGAGCUGUCGGUGGAAACCGUAAAGCUAGAGUCCGGAAGAGGAGAGUGGAAUUCCCGGUGUAGCGGUGAAAUGCGCAGAUAUCGGGAAGAACACCCGUGGCGAAGGCGGCCCGCUGGGCAGUGGCUGACGCUGAGGCGCGACAGCGUGGGGAGCAAACAGG
rnacentral:rRNA from 1 species